GGAGGCCGAGGCGGCGGCGGAGAGUCGGGACAUCGCCCGGCAGUGCCUCCGCCUUGCCGGCUGCCGACGGCCCCCGCCCCCGGGUACCCAGCGCUUGCUCUUAAAGGCGCCCACUGCCGGUUAGGCCGCGAGGACCCCAGGUCGCCUCGCCCAAAGCUCCUGGGUUAAAGCUUUCUAAGGGAGUUCAGUGCUCAGAGACUGCACCGAGGACGCCUUGCCGCUGCUGCCCCGGGAACCUCGCUUUUACUUGGACUGCCCACACCCUGUUAAGGUCUUGACCAAACACUCCUACCUCUGUGCCCCACUCGCUAAAAAUCGCUGCCCUGUAGGACUGUUUUCCUCCACUGAGUGUGCAGCCUUCCUUUCUGCUUCCUCAUAUUCAACACUUUGGAGCACUUCAGACUGAAGACCCUUGGACCCCUACGCUUACCACUGAAGGAGUCUUGGAAGUGUCGUCGCAAAUACACCUUGCUUUGACUCAUGCUCUCUGUUCUUUCUACAGCCCCUUGCCAGGUGGCCUCCAGCCUGAUUGCCAGAACCUCGGCCUUUCAUGAUCAUCAAACUGGCCUCAGGGAGACCCUAAAAGAAAGAUUUCACCUUCAAAUUUCAAUAAAACUGCUUUUGAAAUGCA